rnacentral:rRNA from 1 species
AGUGAACGCUGGCGGUAGGCCUAACACAUGCAAGUCGAACGGCAGCACAGUAAGAGCUUGCUCUUACGGGUGGCGAGUGGCGGACGGGUGAGGAAUACAUCGGAAUCUACUUUUUCGUGGGGGAUAACGUAGGGAAACUUACGCUAAUACCGCAUACGACCUACGGGUGAAAGCAGGGGAUCUUCGGACCUUGCGCGAUUGAAUGAGCCGAUGUCGGAUUAGCUAGUUGGCGGGGUAAAGGCCCACCAAGGCGACGAUCCGUAGCUGGUCUGAGAGGAUGAUCAGCCACACUGGAACUGAGACACGGUCCAGACUCCUACGGGAGGCAGCAGUGGGGAAUAUUGGACAAUGGGCGCAAGCCUGAUCCAGCCAUACCGCGUGGGUGAAGAAGGCCUUCGGGUUGUAAAGCCCUUUUGUUGGGAAAGAAAAGCAGCAGGUUAAUACCCCGCUGUUCUGACGGUACCCAAAGAAGAAGCACCGGCUAACUUCGUG